rnacentral:misc_RNA from 1 species
AAGUCGUAACAAGGUUUCCGUAGGUGAACCUGCGGAAGGAUCAUUAUUGAAGGGGAAAAAAACUUCCCCAAAAAGGAUGUAGGCCAGCCUAAAUUUGGCUGGCACACACUGGCUAUGAAACCCUUGUCUAUAAGUACUCUUGUUUCCUCGGCAGGCUUACCUGCCAAUGGGGACCCUAAUCAAUCUUUCAAUAUUGUUGUAACCGUAACCAAACAAAUAAUCAAAACUUUCAACAACGGAUCUCUUGGUUCUG